GACGGGGGAUGCAAGUGUUAUCCGGAAUCACUGGGCGUGAAGCGUCUGCAGGUGGUUUCCUAAGUCCACUGUUAAACCUUGAGGCUCAACCUCAAAUCUGCAUUGGAAACUAGGAGACUUGAGUAUAGUAGGGGUAGAGGGAAUUUCCAGUGGAGCGGUGAAAUGCGUAGAUAUUGGAAAGAACACCGAUGGCGAAGGCACUCUACUGGGCUAUUACUGACACUCAGAGACGAAAGCUAGGGGAGCAAAUGGG
rnacentral:rRNA from 1 species